rnacentral:pre_miRNA from 1 species
UGAUGACGAUGAUGAUAAUAAUAAUGAUGAGGAUGAUGAUGCGGAAGACGAGGAAGAAGAUGAUGCUGAUGAAAGAAAUAUUCUCCGAGUUUUACAAGAAGCUCAACAACAACGUCGUGUAAACGCAUCAUCAUCAUCAUCAUCAUCAUCAUCACCACCU